GGCGAAGGCAGGUCUCUGGGCCGUUACUGACGCUGAGGAGCGAAAGCGUGGGGAGCGAACAGGAUUAGAUACCCUGGUAGUCCACGCCGUAAACGGUGGAUGCUGGAUGUGGGGCCCGUUCCACGGGUUCCGUGUCGGAGCUAACGCGUUAAGCAUCCCGCCUGGGGAGUACGGCCGCAAGGCUAAAACUCAAAGAAAUUGACGGGGGCCCGCACAAGCGGCGGAGCAUGCGGAUUAAUUCGAUGCAACGCGAAGAACCUUACCUGGGCUUGACAUGUUCCCGACAGCCGUAGAGAUAUGGCCUCCCUUCGGGGCGGGUUCACAGGUGGUGCAUGGUCGUCGUCAGCUCGUGUCGUGAGAUGUUGGGUUAAGUCCCGCAACGAGCGCAACCCUCGCCCUGUGUUGCCAGCACGUCGUGGUGGGAACUCACGGGGGACCGCCGGGGUCAACUCGGAGGAAGGUGGGGAUGACGUCAGAUCAUCAUGCCCCUUACGUCCAGGGCUUCACGCAUGCUACAAUGGCCGGUACAACGGGAUGCGACACGGCGACGUGGAGCGGAUCCCUGAAAACCGGUCUCAGUUCGGAUUGGAGUCUGCAACCCGACUCCAUGAAGGCGGAGUCGCUAGUAAUCGCGGAUCAGCAACGCCGCGGUGAAUGCGUUCCCGGGCCUUGUACACACCGCCCGUCAAGUCAUGAAAGUGGGUAGCACCCGAAGCCGGUGGCCUAACCCUUUGUGGAUGGAGCCGUCUAAGGUGAGACUCGUGAUUGGGACUAAGUCGUAACAAGGUAGCCGUACCGGAAGGUGCGGCUGGAUCACCUCCUUUCUACGGAG
rnacentral:rRNA from 1 species